rnacentral:rRNA from 1 species
AUUGAACGCUGGCGGCAGGCCUAACACAUGCAAGUCGAACGAGUGGCGGACGGGUGAGUAAUGUCUGGGAAACUGCCUGAUGGAGGGGGAUAACUACUGGAAACGGUAGCUAAUACCGCAUACCAUCGGAUGUGCACAGAUGGGAUUAGCUUGUUGGUGGGGUAACGGCUCACCAAGGCGACGAUCACUAGCUGGUCUGAGAGGAUGACCAGUCACCCUGGAACUGAGACACGGUCCAGACGCCUACGGGAGGCAGCAGUGGGGAAUAUUUCACAAUGGGCGCAAGCCUGAUGCAGCCAUGCCGCGUGUGUGAAGAAGGCCUUCGGGUUGUAAAGCACUUUCAGCGGGGAGGCGUUACCCGCAGAAGAAGCACCGGCUAACUACGUGCCAGCAGCCGCGGUAAUAC